rnacentral:ncRNA from 1 species
UAAAAUACUGGGAAAAGGAUAUGAGAUUUUUAUUCUGAUGCAGAGAGAAGGACGGCUGGUGAAAGUCCUUUGAAGGAAUACUGAUCUUACUCCCUUGGAGUAGCACCCGAAAGGGAUUGCCGCAUACCUGCGUUACGGGUUUGAGUGCAUAUGAGAUAUCAUAUGAACAAAGGUGGUACCGCGUGUAAGACUGACGUCCUUUGG